rnacentral:lncRNA from 1 species
UGCCUUGGCUCACACCAUCAGUACGCAAACUAAUAAAACACCGUGACAGAUUGUACAAAAAGCAUAAAAAGUUAGCUGAUCUUACAAAAACAUCCAAACUUAAAGAAACAAAGAGAAUGGUACAAAGAGAGCUCCGUCGUUCAUAUUGGAACUACAAUGAGAACAUCGUAACACCUAAGGAGGAAAACAACCAAUAUAGUAGUAUGAAACGUUUCUGGACAUACAUCAAACAUCAGAAAACAGAAUCCUCCUUCCAAACCGGCUUCAAUAUUGAUAAAAUUUUCCAGCGUAAAGGUAAGUAAGUUUAUUGAAAUGGAGUUGCACACAUUCGCAGUGAAGGUAUACUACACACACACC